UACGGAGGGUGCAAGCGUUAUCCGGAUUCACUGGGUUUAAAGGGUGCGUAGGUGGGUUGGUAAGUCAGUGGUGAAAUCUCCGAGCUUAACUUGGAAACUGCCAUUGAUACUAUCAGUCUUGAAUAUUGUGGAGGUCAGCGGAAUAUGUCAUGUAGCGGUGAAAUGCUUAGAUAUGACAUAGAACACCAAUUGCGAAGGCAGCUGGCUACGCAUAUAUUGACACUGAGGCACGAAAGCGUGGGAUCAAACAGG
rnacentral:rRNA from 1 species